CAGUCGCCGCGGUAAUACGAAGGGGGCUAGCGUUGCUCGGAAUGACUGGGCGUAAAGGGCGCGUAGGCGGUUUCUUAAGUCUGAUGUGAAAGCCCCCGGCUCAACCGGGGAGGGUCAUUGGAAACUGGGAAACUUGAGUGCAGAAGAGGAGAGUGGAAUUCCACGUGUAGCGGUGAAAUGCGUAGAGAUGUGGAGGAACACCAGUGGCGAAGGCGACUCUCUGGUCUGUAACUGACGCUGAGGAGCGAAAGCGUGGGGAGCGAACAGGAUUAGAUACCCCAGUAGUCCCUGUCUCUUAUAC
rnacentral:rRNA from 1 species